GGGUGAUUAGCUCAGCUGGGAGAGCACCUCCCUUACAAGGAGGGGGUGGCGGGGUUCGAUCCCGUCAUCACCCACCA
rnacentral:tRNA from 1 species